rnacentral:rRNA from 1 species
UUAAAAGCUCGUAGUUGAAUCUCGGGAUCAAUUUAUUGGUCGUGCUAUUGUACGUACUGGUAUUAUUGAUUUCUACCUUCUGACGAACCAUGAUGUCAUUAAUUUGGUGUCAUGGGGAAUCAGGACUGUUACUUUGAAAAAAUUAGAGUGUUUAAAGCAGGCUCACGCUUGAAUACAUUAGCAUGGAAUAACGAAAUAGGACGUUUGAUUCUAUUUUGUUGGUUUCUAGGAUCGACGUAAUGAUUAAUAGGGAUAGUUGGGGGCAUUAGUAUUCAAUUGUCAGAGGUGAAAUUCUUGGAUUUAUUGAAGACUAACUACUGCGAAAGCAUUUGCCAAGGAUGUUUUCAUUAAUCAAGAACGAAAGUUAGGGGAUCGAAGACGAUCAGAUACCGUCGUAGUCUUAACCAUAAACUAUGCCGACUAGGGAUCGGAUGAUGUUAAUUUUUUAAUGACUCAUUCGGCACCUUAC